UUCUAUACCAUCACUCCCUGCUCAAGUUCUUGAACUUUCAUAUGGAGGUUUUUGGCAUUCUCGGCAAGAAUCUAGAGCAUUGACGUUUUGAAGGGUUAAUGCGGUUCGGAGGAGAAGAAGAUUUUACUCUUUAGAGAUACUCACCACCUGGUUUUGGCUCUGAUUCCAUCUGCCUCUUUGCUUCCUGGAGUUCAAGAAGGAUGUCAUUAGUAAGUCAAACAACAAAGAAAAGAUAUGAAAUCUGAAAGAAGUGGUUGAAUGCAGGGAAGAGAGCUGCAUGGGGGGGGAUUAUGUAAAAUCUACUCUUCCAUUUCAUGCAGGUAAUCUCUUGGAAGCUAUUGAACUGCUACGAAAAAAGCUCGUCAAUUUGAGGGCUCUCGGGGGUUUUCUUCCCGAGGCCCAUAGUCACAGCUCACAGCGGUCAACUGUCUUUUAAUCACAGCUCUCGAGCAGCAAAGGGACAUGAACCUACCUGCACGGAAUAUUUCAACUCUUUAUUUCCAUAUUUGUGACUAUGGUAAACAUAUAGUUUUCUCACACAGUACCUAGUGUAGAUAUACAUUAAAUGGCAUUGCACAAACUAAUUCUUUUUGGUAUUAAUAUUAUCUGUGGCUGCAAGCUCUUCAGGUUUCAGUGUCAUUCUAAUGCAGUCUUUUAGUUGUCAGCCGGACAUUGCCAAAGCAUUAACGUAACUUUAGCGGACAGUACUUUUGUGGCUAUGGCAAACGCGAUUCUACCGGACAGUACUUUUGUUGAAAGGAAAACCGGGAAAGCGUAACUUUGAUGCUAUUAAUGUUUUUUUUGCAAGAGGGCUGACCUGCUUAGCAAACAAACCACAUUCUGCCCACAAGAUCAAGCAGUAAGAAACAAAAACAAAGGGACUUUCAUGGAAGUUUCCAAGAACUAUCGUCUCUAGUUUUGGAACAAGUUUGGAAGAUUCCAGGAAGCUUCCUAGAUAGGGAAAGAAAAUUAUGAAGCUUCAUGGCUCUUGGCUCAUGCAAAAAAUCCCAAACAAAACCCGUUAUGGUAUCUUUCUAAAUCUUAUUAACUGAUGCUUCGUAUUUGUACGUGUGUAUGUAUGUUUUCGUGUCUAUACAUGUUUUCACUAAUUAAGUCAAUACUAGAGAAUCCAUGGUUUCAGAACUUGUA